CCUAACACAUGCAAGUCGAGCGGUAACAGGAAGAAGCUUGCUUCUUUGCUGACGAGUGGCGGACGGGUGAGUAAUGUCUGGGAAACUGCCUGAUGGAGGGGGAUAACUACUGGAAACGGUAGCUAAUACCGCAUAACGUCGCAAGACCAAAGAGGGGGACCUUCGGGCCUCUUGCCAUCAGAUGUGCCCAGAUGGGAUUAGCUAGUAGGUGGGGUAACGGCUCACCUAGGCGACGAUCCCUAGCUGGUCUGAGAGGAUGACCAGCCACACUGGAACUGAGACACGGUCCAGACUCCUACGGGAGGCAGCAGUGGGGAAUAUUGCACAAUGGGCGCAAGCCUGAUGCAGCCAUGCCGCGUGUAUGAAGAAGGCCUUCGGGUUGUAAUA
rnacentral:rRNA from 1 species